rnacentral:misc_RNA from 1 species
GAUGAAGAACGCAGUGAAAUGCGAUAAGUAAUGUGAAUUGCAGAAUUCAGUGAAUCAUCGAAUCUUUGAACGCACCUUGCGCUCCUUGGUAUUCCGAGGAGCAUGCCUGUUUGAGUGUCAUUAAAUUCUCAAUCAUUAUCAACUUUUGCUGAUAAUGGCUUGGAUGUGGGGGUCUAUUUUGCUGGCUUCUCAGAUAGUCAGCUCCCCUUAAAUGCAUUAGCCGGUGCCCCGCGUGGACUGUCUAUUGGUGUGAUAAUUAUCUACGCUAUAGACAUCUGCAAUCAUAUGGGUUUGCGCUGCUUCUAACAGUCUGUUGAUUCAGACAAUACAUGACAAUUUGACCUCAAAUCAGGUAGGACUACCCGCUGAACUUAAGCAUAUCAAUAAGCGGAGGA